GUAGGAUGGCAGUGAACAAUGAAACACUAUUCACAGUGAAGGGCAAUGGGAAUUUUAAAGGUGUAGCACAUAUGCUUUUAACAGGCAGGGUGAUUAUUGGAAAAGAGAAUUGGAUUGAAAGGCAGAGGACCAGGGUUCCCUUCCCAGAGCUGCCACCACAGCCUGGUGUGGAUCCCACGCACACUGCUGUCCUGCCAGGGUUGGAUAUGCCACUGGGUCCCGGUGGGGGAUGCCUCAGGAGAGGGAAAGCACAAUAGCUAUCUGACUUUUUUUUGGAGACCACUGAGGGCCAUAGGGCUUCUCAGGUGGCUCAGUGGUAAAGAGCCUGCCUGCUAAUGGAGGAGACAUGAGUUUAUCCCUGGGUCAGGAAGAUCCGCUGGAAGAGGAAAUGGCAACCCACUCCAGUAUUCUUGCCUGGAGAAUUCCAUGGACAGAGGAGCCUGGUAGGUUAUAGUCCAUGGGGUCACAAGAGUCAGACGCAACUUAGUGACUAAACAAAAAUUGAGGGCCACAGAGGCUUUUUGCAUUUGCAGCAUGACCUCAGGAAUUCUCUAAUUUCUAUAGAACUAGUAGGGUAUGCCGGAGAAGGCAAUGGCACCCCACUCCAGUACUCUUGCCUGGAAAAUCCCGCGGACGGAGGAGCCUGGUAGGCUACAGUCCAUGAGGUCGCUGAGAGUCGGACACGACUGAGCAAGUUCACUUUCACUUUUCACUUUCAUGCACUGGAGAAGGAAAUGGCAACCCACUCCAGUGUUCUUGCCUGGAGAAUCCCAGGGACGGCAGAGCCUGGUGGGCUGGCGUCUAUGGGGUUGCACAGAGUCAGACACGACUGAAGCGACUUAGCAGCAGCAGUAGGAUGUGCAAGCUCUUCAUUCCCCCCUCCGCCACCCCAGAUCUUACGUAUGGAUUACAGCUGACCACCAGUCUGAAUUAAAGAAGGUCCAAGUCUACAGUGGGAUCAGAAAAUCUAUCCUGGUCUUUCUAUUCCUGGAGGAGGAAUGAACCCUUUGACUCCCGGGAGUGAUUUAUGGCCACAAAUGACCUGACAUUGGGGUUCCUAGGACUAGAGAGGAUCUGAGCUGGCCACAGUUUCCUCUCUUCACUGUCUUCCUCUGCAGCUUAAUUCACUCCCAUCACUUCAACUAAAACGUGAGGCCUCUGGCUCUUAAAUCUCUGUCUCUAGCCUGCUUUCCUUCCGGGCUCAUCUGUCUUGUAUUCCCAGCUGCCUGAUGGAGAUCUUUUUCUGGGUGUCUCACUUUACCUAAAGCUCAACAUAGCUAACAUGAGACACAAGUCUUUUGUUUCCCAGCCAUGGACCCUUGCUGUCCUCCUGGUUUUGGUGAAGAGCUGAUUUCAGAGAAUGGGAAAGGUUGCGAUCAUCUGCUCCAGUCUUAAUUAGGUGAAGCAGAUGAGGCUGAAGAGGUUAGCUGGUUUGUUCAAGGUUAUCCAGAGAGCUGAGAACAGAGGGAAGAGCUCUCUCUGCUGGACCGCUACUCCCUUCCACCCAGGCUUGACGGCUCCAGGAAUUUUGAACCCUCCUUCCUCACCAGGGUUGAGGGUAAGGCAACGGCCUGUCAUUAUCAGGGAGUGAGGUGAACCACAGAAGCUGGUUUCCCAAGAAUCUGCAUCCAGCUGCCAACCUGGUUCUCUACCACAGAGUUACAGAGAGCAGAAAUAUCUUCUGUGGCAUCUUUGUUCAUCAACCAGUAUUUCCACCCAUUCUAGGGCUGUGAUUUCUCAUUAGUUGGGGGUUAUGUAAAUAAAUACUGAGAAUUUUCCCUU
ensembl:lncRNA